rnacentral:rRNA from 1 species
AUUGAACGCUGGCGGCAUGCCUUACACAUGCAAGUCGAACGGUAACAGGUCUUCGGAUGCUGACGAGUGGCGAACGGGUGAGUAAUACAUCGGAACGUGCCUAGUAGUGGGGGAUAACUACUCGAAAGAGUGGCUAAUACCGCAUGAGAUCUACGGAUGAAAGCAGGGGAUGGCAAGACCUUGUGCUACUAGAGCGGCCGAUGGCAGAUUAGGUAGUGGGUGGGAUAAAAGCUUACCAAGCCGACGAUCUGUAGCUGGUCUGAGAGGACGAUCAGCCACACUGGGACUGAGACACGGCCCAGACUCCUACGGGAGGCAGCAGUGGGGAAUUUUGGACAAUGGGCGCAAGCCUGAUCCAGCAAUGCCGCGUGCAGGAUGAAGGCCUUCGGGUUGUAAACUGCUUUUGUACGGAACGAAAAGCCCUGGGUUAAUACCCUGGGGUCAUGACGGUACCGUAAGAAUAAGCACCGGCUAACUACGUGCCAGCCGCCGCAGUAACAC